rnacentral:siRNA from 1 species
UGAAGCUUGCCUUUCGCAUCUU